UACGUAGGGUGCAAGCGUUAAUCGGAAUUACUGGGCGUAAAGCGUGCGCAGGCGGGUUUGUAAGUCUGUCGGGAAAUCCCCGGGCUUAACCUGGGAAUGGCGAUGGAGACUGCAAGGCUAGAAUCUGGCAGAGGGGGGUAGAAUUCCACGUGUAGCAGUGAAAUGCGUAGAGAUGUGGAGGAACACCGAUGGCGAAGGCAGCCCCCUGGGUCAAGAUUGACGCUCAUGCACGAAAGCGUGGGGAGCAAACAGG
rnacentral:rRNA from 1 species